rnacentral:rRNA from 1 species
UACGAAGGGGGCUAGCGUUGCUCGGAAUCACUGGGCGUAAAGCGCACGUAGGCGGCUUCUUAAGUCAGGGGUGAAAUCCUGGAGCUCAACUCCAGAACUGCCUUUGAUACUGAGGAGCUUGAGUCCGGGAGAGGUGAGUGAAACUGCGAGUGUAGAGGUGAAAUUCGUAGAUAUUCGCAAGAACACCAGUGGCGAAGGCGGCUCACUGGCCCGGUACUGACGCUGAGGUGCGAAAGCGUGGGGAGCAAACAGG